GGAGCGGAAGGAUAUCAGAAGUGCAUAGACAAAGUACCGCCAUCCUAAACGAUCCUAUCAGCGGAUGUAGAUCUACGACUUCCGGAAGAAGCGGUUAUAUUAAGAGAAGACAGGGAACCUAUCACGAUACCUUUUAGAUACAGCUGGUAACAUUCUGCGGUCAAACCAGAAAUGUUUAUUCCGCCGGACUGACCAUAAACUACAACACGAGUGUCGGACUUCAAUACCCGAGAUUUCCAUUGCCGGAGCCCGUCUGUGUUAAUCUUAUCUCUGGCUCCGCCCUCCGAGGUUUUCCUAGCCCAGUCCCUGACAGGCCCGAUAACGAUGUCGACGGCGUAUCAGGCUGCUGCGACAAGUCUCCUGGGGUGACUAUAAAACUACAGUUUAAGUGUAAAUUUGUUGUUGCCCGGGGUUAUCACAAGGUUCAAGUGCUGUAAUACCUCACGGUGCAAGCACAGAUAGCAUAUCUACCGGCCAAACGUUUUCGUAGCGUACUUGAGUGAGAGUUCAGAGAGUAGAAUUCGAAGAAAGUUGCUUCAUUUUUAAUAAAAAUUAAUAAGUCGCA